rnacentral:ncRNA from 2 species
AAAUAAUAAUGUUCGUUAUCUCGUAUAUGAUUGGAAAUACGGUCCAAUUGUUUCUACCGAACGGCCUUAAACUGUUUGACUACGCGUGUUUAUUGUUAUAUG